rnacentral:rRNA from 1 species
UUGGAGGGCAAGUCUGGUGCCAGCAGCCGCGGUAAUUCCAGCUCCAAUAGCGUAUAUUAAAGUUGCUGCAGUUAAAAAGCUCGUAGUUGAAUUUCGGGACCAUCAUGUCGGUCGUGCCUCGGUACGUACUGGCAUUGUUGGUUUCUCCCUUCUGACGAACCAUGAUGUCAUUUAUUUGGUGUUGUGGGAAAUCAGGACUGUUACUUUGAAAAAUUAGAGUGUUUAAAGCAGGCUCACGCUUGAAUACAUUAGCAUGGAAUAAUGAAAUAGGACGUUUGAUUCUAUUUUGUUGGUUUCUAGGAUCGACGUAAUGAUUAAUAGGGAUAGUUGGGGGCAUUAGUAUUCAAUUGUCAGAGGUGAAAUUCUUGGAUUUAUUGAAGACUAACUACUGCGAAAGCAUUUGCCAAGGAUGUUUUCAUUAAUCAAGAACGAAAGUUAGGGGAUCGAAGACGAUCAGAUACCGUCGUAGUCUUAACCAUAAACUAUGCCGACUAGGGAUCGGACGAAGUUAAUUUUAAAUGACUCGUUCGGCGCCUUAC